UACGUAGGGGGCGAGCGUUGUCCGGAUUCAUUGGGCGUAAAGAGCUCGUAGGCGGCUGACCAAGUCGGAUGUGAAAUCUUCAGGCUCAACCUGGGGUGGUCAUUCGAUACUGGUCUGGCUGGAGUCCGGUAGGGGACCAUGGAAUUCCUGGUGUAGCGGUGAAAUGCGCAGAUAUCAGGAGGAACACCGAUGGCGAAGGCAGUGGUCUGGGCCGGUACUGACGCUGAGGAGCGAAAGCGUGGGGAGCGAACAGG
rnacentral:rRNA from 1 species